GUCAGUGUGGCAUAGUGGUUUGAGUGUUGGACUAUGACUCUGGAGACCUGAGUUCGAUUCUCAGCUUGGCUA